rnacentral:tRNA from 1 species
GCGGAUUUAGCUCAGUUGGGAGAGCGCUAGACUGAAGAUCUAGAGGUCACUAGUCCGAUCCUGGCAAUUCGGCA